rnacentral:rRNA from 1 species
UGGGGAAUAUUGGACAAUGGGCGCAAGCCUGAUCCAGCCAUGCCGCGUGUGUGAAGAAGGCCUUCGGGUUGUAAAGCACUUUCAGUGGGGAGGAAGGGGUUGUAGUUAAUAGCUGCAAUUUUUGACGUUACCCACAGAAGAAGCACCGGCUAACUCCGUGCCAGCAGCCGCGGUAAUACGGAGGGUGCAAGCGUUAAUCGGAAUUACUGGGCGUAAAGCGCACGCAGGCGGCUUUUUAAGUCGGAUGUGAAAGCCCCGGGCUCAACCUGGGAAUUGCAUCUGAUACUGGGAAGCUAGAGUAUGUGAGAGGGGGGUAGAAUUCCAAGUGUAGCGGUGAAAUGCGUAGAGAUUUGGAGGAAUACCAGUGGCGAAGGCGGCCCCCUGGCACAAUACUGACGCUCAGGUGCGAAAGCGUGGGGAGCAAACAGG